rnacentral:lncRNA from 1 species
GGGAAGGAAGCCUAGGUAUUCCUCCCAAACCUCUCAGAAAAAGAGCAGAAAACUGAUUUGAUAAUGAUGAUUUUAACGCUGCUUGUAAAAGCUAAGCAAAAGAUGGCAGAAUUCAACUCCUGAAAAUGUCACCUUGGCCUUAUCUAGGAAGACCCAGGUAGGAGUACAAUCUUCAGAUCAGACUCAUUCUCCCCCAUUUUCAUUUCUAUAAAUGUGAGCUGGAGAAGUAGGGGCUGUUUCAGUCUCUGCUUGCAGGACUCAGCAGUGUUAAAGAGAGAGCAAUACUUCAAGGCUGCUUGGAAAGAGAAGGAAUUUAAUUCCCACCUUAAUCAGUGAAAUGGGCUCUUUCUUAUUGAUUUUGGUGAGUGCUGCAGCAGAUGCUAAUAAACUGGAGUGGAAUUGCAAAUAGACUAAACCUUGCUGAGACAGGUGAUAGAGAGGGGAUCUGCUGCCCAUUUAUGAUGUGAAUAAGGAAAAGUUCUCCAAUGGAAAUCAAGAGGUGCAAAUACUUGAGCCCCAGGUCCAACAACACGCUCCUGACAGGCAGCAUGGGCUUCUGCGGGCUAUUGACUUUUCAAAUAUGCAAGGGCUGAGAAGAGUCAGUGAAAUUAUAGUGCACUUUUAAUGAUGGAGGAAGGCUGUCCUAAUGUUUAAUUGCUGCUGAACACACCAACUCUCCUUUUGCCUCUCUUCCUUGUCCCUGACUCUGAAACAAACCAGAGGGAACCAAAAAUUAACCCUGUGCCUCUCACACCCCCAACAGUAAUUUUUUUUUCCCUCUAGCAGGAUCAGCUUGCUCAACCUGCUUGCUUUGGGAUGGCAGGGGUGGUUGUGCUUGCCUGAGGGAGAAGCACAGCUGUGGAUGGGGCUUGUGAGAAGGCUCCUUGGUCAGUGUCCUGUGUCCAUGGAGGCGGAGGGUUCUCAGUGGGUGAACGUGGUGCUCAGUCUUACUUAUUGGGGAAAUAUUUAAUGAGCUUCUGGGAGCAGCUGACAUGGAUGAAAAACACCGUAAUGGUAUGGAAACAGAGGGAGGAGAAAGUUUUAAGGCCUCACGAGCAGGAUCUUUCUAUGCAAAUAUUUUGUUUCACUGUAUAGGUUUAAG